CGAGACCCAUGUCCACUGUUGCUAACGCGACCCGCGAGGGUUGGCGAGUACACGGUGGAGACCGCUGGCGCUAAGUCAGAGGAAGGGGUGGUCGACGGUAGGUCAGUAUGCCCCGAAUAUCCCGGGCUACACGCGGGCUACAAUGGACAGGACAAUGGGCUACAACACUGAAAAGUGACGUCAAUCUCUUAAACCUGUCCUUAGUUCGGAUUGAGGGCUGAAACUCGCCCUCAUGAAGAUGGAAUCCGG
rnacentral:rRNA from 1 species